UACGCGGGGUGCUAGCGUUGUUCGGAAUUACUGGGCGUAAAGCGCACGCAGGCGGCUUUAUAAGUCAGGGGUGAAAUCCCGGGGCUCAACCUCGGAAUUGCCCUUGAUACUGUCUAUCUUGAGUUCGGGAGAGGUGAGUGGAAUUCCUAGUGUAGAGGCGAAAUUCGUAGAUACUAGGAAGAACACCAGUGGCGAAGGCGGUUCACUGGCCCGGUACUGACGCUCAUGUGCGAAAGCGUGGGGAGCAAACAUG
rnacentral:rRNA from 1 species